rnacentral:rRNA from 1 species
CCUACGGGAGGCUGCAGUAGGGAAUAUUGCUCAAUGGGGGAAACCCUGAAGCAGCAACGCAGCGUGGAGGAUGAAGGUUUUAGGAUUGUAAACUCCUUUUGAUAGGGAAGAUAAUGACGGUAUCUAACGAAUAAGCACCGGCUAACUCCGUGCCAGCAGCCGCGGUAAUACGGAGGGUGCAAGCGUUAUUCGGAAUCACUGGGCGUAAAGAGGGCGUAGGCGGGAUAGCAAGUCAGAUGUGAAAUCCUAUGGCUUAACCAUAGAACUGCAUUUGAAACUGUUAUUCUAGAGUAUGGGAGAGGUAGGUGGAAUUCUUGGUGUAGGGGUAAAAUCCGUAGAGAUCAAGAGGAAUACUCAUUGCGAAGGCGACCUGCUAGAACAUAACUGACGCUGAUGCGCGAAAGCGUGGGGAUCAAACAGGAUUAGAUACCCCAGUAGUC